UUUCCCACAAAAGAAGUAAACAAGUGUGAUUUUUUCAUAUUGGAACAAUGCAUAAGUCGAAUGAUUUUGGUCAAAGGUUAUUCGCCUUUUCCUUUUCAGAGGCCAUCGAACAUCUAAUUUGAAUCUGAUUCACAUGUACUUUUUAAUGCCCCUAGUUACCAAAGCAGCAUCAUAUUCUACAAACUCUCCAAUGAACUUACCAAAUUGACACACUAUUCUUUUAGAGAUAAAUCCCUUCAAUAAAUUGUAAACUUG
rnacentral:lncRNA from 1 species